rnacentral:rRNA from 1 species
GAUGAACGCUGGCGGCGUGCCUAAUACAUGCAAGUCGAGCGAACGGACGAGAAGCUUGCUUCUCUGAUGUUAGCGGCGGACGGGUGAGUAACACGUGGAUAACCUACCUAUAAGACUGGGAUAACUUCGGGAAACCGGAGCUAAUACCGGAUAAUAUUUUGAACCGCAUGGUUCAAAAGUGAAAGACGGUCUUGCUGUCACUUAUAGAUGGAUCCGCGCUGCAUUAGCUAGUUGGUAAGGUAACGGCUUACCAAGGCAACGAUGCAUAGCCGACCUGAGAGGGUGAUCGGCAACACUGGAACUGAGACACGGUCCAGACUCCUACGGGAGGCAGCAGUAGGGAAUCUUCCGCAAUGGGCGAAAGCCUGACGGAGCAACGCCGCGUGAGUGAUGAAGGUCUUCGGAUCGUAAAACUCUGUUAUUAGGGAAGAAAAUAUGUGUAAGUAACUGUGCACAUCUUGACGGUACCUAAUCAGAAAGCCACGGCUAACUACGUG